rnacentral:rRNA from 1 species
GACGAACGCUGGCGGCGUGCUUAACACAUGCAAGUCGAACGGAAAGGCCCUGCUUGCAGGGUACUCGAGUGGCGAACGGGUGAGUAACACGUGGGUGAUCUGCCCUGCACUUCGGGAUAAGCCUGGGAAACUGGGUCUAAUACCGGAUAGGAGCCAUUUUUAGUGUGAUGGUUGGAAAGUUUUUUCGGUGUAGGAUGAGCUCGCGGCCUAUCAGCUUGUUGGUGGGGUAAUGGCCUACCAAGGCGGCGACGGGUAGCCGGCCUGAGAGGGUGGACGGCCACAUUGAGUCUUAGGGACGGCAGAGGCUGCGACGGGUGGCAGAUGUGGGGAAUAUUGCACAAUGGGCGCAGGCCUGAUGCAGCGAGGCCGCGUGGGGGAUGACGGCCUUCGGGUUGUAGACUACUUUCGCUAGGGACGAAGCUUUUUGUGACGGUACCUAGAUAAGAAGCACCGGCUAACUACGUG